rnacentral:rRNA from 1 species
UACGUAGGGGGCAAGCGUUGUCCGGAUUUAUUGGGCGUAAAGAGCUCGUAGGCGGUUCGGUAAGUCGGCUGUGAAAUCUCCACGCUCGACGUGGAGGGGUCAGUCGAAACUGCCGUGACUCGAGUCCGGUAGAGGAGUGUGGAAUUCCCGGUGUAGCGGUGAAAUGCGCAGAGAUCGGGAGGAACACCCGUAGCGAAGGCGGCACUCUGGGCCGGUACUGACGCUGAGACGCGAAAGCGUGGGGAGCGAACAGG